rnacentral:lncRNA from 1 species
GUGAGGACAAAGGCCUGAGCACUCACCAGGGUGUGUGCCCCCCUUGUCCCUCACCCAUGAGAACCCCAGGGCAGAGGGAGGGCAGGUGUGAGGACAGGUGCUGGGCAGAGCUGAGACCCUCAUGGUGGGGGGGGUGGGGCGGGGCGGCGGGGGAGUUUUGGGGGAUGGGACACGGGACUCCGGCCUUUGAGUUCCAGAACCUUUGGGAAACUUGCAGACUGCCUUGGCUCUCCUAGCUCCCUGUCUAGCUUGCCUUUUCUCAGGUCCUACUCAGCAGCAAGGGAAAAAUGAGAUGAAAAGGCCGAGAGGUUUGGCUCCUGCCCACUGGUAGUCCCUCUCCCCACAGUGUUUGUGUGUCAAGUGACAAAGCUGUUCUUCCUGGUGACGCUGAGUCUCUCCAAUACCUUAUAGACUGUACACAUAGGCCUCCUUGGCCUCCUCUGUCCUGGGCUUUUGCUUUUUAGUUUUGCUUUUAGUUUUUCUGUCCCUUUUAUUUAACGCACCGACUAGACACACAAAGCAGUUGAAUUUUUAUAUAUAUAUAUCUGUAUAUUGCACAAUUAUAAACUCAUUUUGCUUGUGGCUCCACACAAAAAAAGACCUGUUAAAAUUAUACCUGUUGCUUAAUUACAAUAUUUCUGAUAACCAUAGCAUAGGACAAGGGAAAAUAAAAAAACAAAACAACAAAAAAAAAACACAAAAAGACAAAUCUGUCUGCUGGUUACUUCUUCUGUCCAAGCAGAUCCGUGGUCUUUCCUUGCUUCUUUCAAGGGCUUCCCUGUGCCAAGCAAAGGAGGCUCCAGGCCACACCUGGGUUUUGCACUGUUUCUCCUGUGCUUGAGAGAGAGGUCCCAGGAUGCUGAUGCAGGACAGUUCACCUCAGUGGGUGGGUGCAAGAGCGCUCCCUUGCCCUGGCGAAGUCCAGAAUGUAGAACGCCAGGGACCCAGAACCACAUAUGAGAGUCCAGUGGGUCCCUUCCAGGAGGUAGCGAAGACUCCAGAAACGUCCCUUUCUCUUCUCCCCUAUCCUACGAGUAAUUGCAUUUGCUUUUGUAAUUCUUAAUGAGCAAUAUCUGCUAGAGAGUUUAGCUGUAACAGUUCUUUUUGAUCGUUUUUUUUUAAGUAAUUAAAAACACCAAAAAAAAAAAAAAACCUAGAAACUUGUUCUUCCAAAGCAGAGAGCAUUAUAAUCAUCAGGGCCAAAAGCUUCCCUCCCUGCGUCAUUACUUCUUCUGAGGCCUGAAUCCAGAAGAGAAAUGCUCAUAGGCUCUUUGGGUGGCCGGGCUGCCCUCGGGCCCAUUGAAGGACCUGUGCUGGGGCAGCCUGUGCACCCACUCUCGGGCCUGCUCCAGUCUAUGUUCAGUAUUAGCGGUGGGUCAUAACGUCCUUUCCCACCCAGCCUGGGAUGGGGGCAGAGGAGGCAAGGAGGCCAUUGCCGCUGAUGUUUGGUCACUAACAGGUGGGUGUCCGAAUGUGUCCACGUGCGUGCUUUCUGACUGCAAUCUGAAAUCAGCGCCCAAGUUAGCCUCACCGGGUGACCUCUGCCUGGAUGGAGCGGGGCCCACCCAGUUCAGUGUUUCUGGGGAGCUGGACGGUGGAGUGCAAAAGGCUUGCAGAACUUGAAGCCUGCUCCUUCCCUUGCUACCAAGGCCUCCUUUUCCGUUUGAUUUGUCACUGCUUCAAUCAAUAACAGCCGCUCCAGAGUCAGUAGUUGAUGAAUAUAUGACCAAAUAUCACCAGGA